AUACCAUGCAAGUCGAACGCACUCUCGUUUAGAUUGAAGGAGCUUGCUCCUGAUUGAUAAACUUUUGAGUGAGUGGCGGACGGGUGAGUAACACGUGGGUAACCUGCCCUAAAGUGGGGGAUAACAUUUGGAAACAGAUGCUAAUACCGCAUAAAACCUAACACCGCAUGGUGUAGGGUUGAAAGAUGGUUUCGGCUAUCACUUUAGGAUGGACCCGCGGUGCAUUAGUUAGUUGGUGAGGUAAAGGCUCACCAAGACCGUGAUGCAUAGCCGACCUGAGAGGGUAAUCGGCCACACUGGGACUGAGACACGGCCCAGACUCCUACGGGAGGCAGCAGUAGGGAAUCUUCCACAAUGGACGAAAGUCUGAUGGAGCAACGCCGCGUGAGUGAAGAAGGUUUUCGGAUCGUAAAACUCUGUUGUUGGAGAAGAAUGUAUCUGAUAGUAACUGAUCAGGUAGUGACGGUAUCCAACCAGAAAGCCACGGCUAACUACGUGCCAGCAGCCGCGGUAAUACGUAGGUGGCAAGCGUUGUCCGGAUUUAUUGGGCGUAAAGCGAGCGCAGGCGGUUUCUUAAGUCUGAUGUGAAAGCCUUCGGCUCAACCGAAGAAGUGCAUCGGAAACUGGGAAACUUGAGUGCAGAAGAGGACAGUGGAACUCCAUGUGUAGCGGUGAAAUGCGUAGAUAUAUGGAAGAACACCAGUGGCGAAGGCGGCUGUCUGGUCUGUAACUGACGCUGAGGCUCGAAAGCAUGGGUAGCAAACAGGAUUAGAUACCCUGGUAGUCCAUGCCGUAAACGAUGAGUGCUAGGUGUUGGAGGGUUUCCGCCCUUCAGUGCCGCAGCUAACGCAUUAAGCACUCCGCCUGGGGAGUACGACCGCAAGGUUGAAACUCAAAGGAAUUGACGGGGGCCCGCACAAGCGGUGGAGCAUGUGUUUUAAUUCGAAGCAACGCGAAGAACCUUACCAGGUCUUGACAUCCUUUGACCACUCUAGAGAUAGAGCUUUCCCUUCGGGGACAAAGUGACAGGUGGUGCAUGGUUGUCGUCAGCUCGUGUCGUGAGAUGUUGGGUUAAGUC
rnacentral:rRNA from 1 species